rnacentral:lncRNA from 1 species
AGUAGCAUUUUGAAUGGUUAGCAAUUCAGACUCAAAGAUCAAAUUGUUUUAUUCAACAUAAAGAGUGAACAAUAGAAAGUAAAAGUGGAAAGAGCUUGGAUGUAAGCAAUAUUGGAGAGGGAAGAGGAUCAGAAAAAUCUAGAACCUGGAGUCAGAAGUGGUCUACCUAAGUUUUGUGUUUCUUCCUUUUUUAAUCACUGAGGGGAUUCUUGAAGAUGUGAUGAGACCAUGUUCUGUAAGAUUUAUAAUUUGAGAUCUAUCUAUCUGGAUAUCUGCAUACGUAACUAAGUAUCUAUAGUGAUCUAUAUAAAUAGAUGUCUAAAUAGAUGGAUAAAACAUAUUUAAGGUUAAAUUAAUCUGUUUAGUAAAAUCUACUAAAUUCUCACUUUCUGUUGUAGGAGCAAAUUGUUUUAUAACAAAUAACAAUUUUUUUUUUUUUUUUUUUUGGUCUCACCUACAGCAUGCACAAUUCCUGGGAUCUGAGCCACAGCAGUGAAAAUGCUGGGAUCCUUAACUACUAGGCUACCAGGGAACUUACAUAAGAGCAAAUAAUUAUAUCAGUUUUUGGAUAUCUUUUUAGGCCUAAAUAAAAGAGAUUAUUGCAAGAUUAUUAUAGAUUUCUAGCCAUACCAGGAAAACUUCCCUUAACUAAUAUAGGCAACAUUCUGGCAUUCUGGUGCUAGAAGAACUUGAACAAGGUUUAUUUGUGUUUUUGUUGUUUUUGUUUUUAAUUUGUGUCUUGGUUGGACAGUCCUGGGCUCAAAUCCUCAUCUAGAGUUUGGUAGUUGUUUGAGUAAGCCACUUAACUUCAUCAUUUGUAAAAUGAGUUGUUAACAGCUGUCUACUUAUUUGAAGAUAAGUAAGAUAAAGUAACAGAUUAAAGCAUUUAGUAUAAUGCUUAGCAUAAAGUAGGUGUUUAUGGUAUUUUUUAUUAGACUCAAGGAAAGAGUGAAUUUAAGAGCAGAUAGGCAGCAAGAAAUGUAUUAGUGAAUCUUAGUGUGGAUCUUGAAUGACUUAAACUCCCUCUUGCCUAUACUUCCAGAAUUGAAGAAAGAGCUGGUUCUGGUGUACAGUAGGUGAGCUACCAAAUGAGUUCAAGUGCUCCUGGGUUCACACAGGGAGGUGAGAGCUACAGAGGGCGGGGAGCCAGACACAAUAGUUAGUCUUGUACAGGAAAUAGAGGCGAGAUUGAUUAUCUAAAGAGAAAGAUUGUUAAUUUAAUUCCCUUUGCACCUGUUCCUCUGCCUGGGCUAAAAUAACUAUUAUCACCAUUUGUUACAGAGCUGACACAGAAUAAUCAAACGUGUCCCUGGAGAAAUUAUACAAACAAAUUCUGCAAAAUUAUUCAAAGAGCCCAGAAGGGGAUUCCACAUGCUCCCCUACUUUUUUUAGUUUUCUAGCUCAGGUACAUAUGACAUCAAUAGAGUUAGGAAUGGUCAGUGAGGUGAAUGCCUGGGUGCCAGUAAUGGGGAAACUUGGCUUUUCCCAAUGCAAUGAAGUGCUCAGUGUUGAUGGGAAUAUUUGAUAUGGCUUGGCAUUUUCUGCCACUUUUUUUUUCUGGACAGUUCAGUGGGUAACAGACUGGGAGGGUAUAGGUCAGAAGAGACAGGGUCCAGGGAAGGAGGAUGUGGAAUAGACAAGAGGAGAAAAGGGGUUGUGUUGCUGGAAGCUCUAAAACAUGACUUCCUUCAGCUAAAGAAAUUUCCCCAAAGAUGAACCAGAAUGCGAAUGAUCUGUGCUGAAGUCCUCCAGUGGACUGUGAGUUACUUUAGGGCUGGAACUGUGUCUAAUUCAGUUUAUAAUAUGGGCACCUAGUAUAGUACCUGGCAAGUUGAAGCAUGUUUUAUUUGUUGUGAAAGGCUGGCACGAGAAAUACAAUAGUAAAUCAACUUUAGUAAAGUUUUAAUGUUUAUCUUCCUACAUAAUUUGCCUCAAUGUCUAACCCAGUAUCCAAGACUAAUUUUCAGAAUAUUUCAGCCUGCCAGUGAGAAGGCAUCUGAAUCCAAACAAUCCUUAGAAUAGUAGUUUGAAUUUCCCCUGCUAAAGGGGCCAGUGAUGUAGAGGUUUUUGCUCCUUCUGCCCAGCUCCUUGACUCCCCUGAUUGAGAUUCACUUCUAUGGAUUUCCCUUUCCUCAUUAGGUCUACUUCUUUCCUCAGUACACAGUGGCUUGUCUAAGAAAACAAGAUAGCGACUAAAGGGAAUGAAAAGAAUAUGGGUUAUAAGGAAGUGUUUGCCUCAUUUUAAAUCCCAGGUACACCUCUCUAACUUAAUUCUUUCAUCCCAAAUUUCCCUUCAUGUUUUAAUUCCUCAUCUAUAAUGACAUGUACUUCUUGGGUUGUCAUGUAAAUGAACUGAAAUGCAAAUGUAGUAAACAUGGAAUUAUGCCAGACCCAAAGUUGGAAGCAUCAGUUAGCAGUUCAGCUUAGGUAAUACCAGUGGCAGUGUCACCUCCAUUAGCUAGAAAUUGGACCAUCAUAUCUUGGAGAUGCUUGGCAGGAUUAACAUUCUAUAACUCCAACAUUCUAUUUCAGAAACUCCAGGACUUAGCUACUGUCAUUUCACUCAUAUACUGCAGAAAUACAGAGAAGUAUACCUCCAUACCCAGGGCUUAUUAGCAUCAGGUCUUUGUUUCAACCCAAGUCUAAGAUGUACCUCAAAAAAAUAAAAGAAAAUCUUGCAUUUUUGAAAUGUUGUAUUUUGUUGCUAUUGAAAAAGCCCAAAGGCUGUUUUCUUUAAAGAUUCAUUAAAUAUCCUAUGAUAUAUUAUCUGCCUUAGAAAACACAAAGAAUAAUAUACCAUCACAUAUUGCUUAAAACAAAUUGAACUGACCACAAGCAAUGACUCCCUUGAGACUAAAAUUCAGUAUUUGCAGAAGUAGUUAGUAUAUAGAGAUAAAUGUAGAUGCUUUGGAAUGCUUACUAAAGAGAGAACUAGAAAGGAUUUAAAAUGCCAUUUUAGGUAAUGGAAAUAAGAAUCCGGGGGGAGUUCCCGUCGUGGCACAGUGGUUAACGAAUCCGACUAGGAACCAUCAUGAGGUUGCGGGUUCGGUCCCUGCCCUUGCUCAGUGGGUUAACGAUCCGGCGUUGCCGUGAGCUGUGGUGUAGGUUGCAGACGCUGCUCGGAUCCUGCGUUGCUGUGCCUCUGGUGUAGGCCGGUGGCUACAGCUCCCAUUCAACCCCUAUCUGGGAACCUCCAUAUGCCGCGGGAGCGGCCCAAGAAA